GCUAAUAUGUUAAAAUAGAACAGUCAAUAGUUAAGUUAAGUGGUGGCUAUUCUUUCAACAGAAAAGAGGUGGUGCUUAUGGUGUAAAACCUAUAAACACGAACUCUAGGAAAGGAAAAGCCUGGUGUCUGUUUCAGACGCUUUACAGCUAAUGUUGGGUUUUGGGACAUUUGUCCUGGUACUUAUCGGAUUAGUU
rnacentral:sRNA from 1 species